rnacentral:rRNA from 1 species
UUAUCUUUCUAAAUAAGUUUAUGUUCUAUUUUGAUUUUUUUUAUUUUAAAAGUUUGAUUCUGUCUUUAUAAUUUUUUUUAUAAAUUAAUUAUAUGUAAUUUUAAUAAUUUAAAUUUAAACAGUAAGUAAUAUUGAUAGCUAUUUUAGUUUAUAUUCAGAUAUUUAUUUAAAGUUAGAUAAAUUUUGUGCCAGCAUUCGCGGUUAUACAAAUUUAAUUGAAAUUAUUUUUUAUAUGUAAUUUGAUUAUUUAUUUAUGAUUUUAAUUAAAAUUUAUUUAGGUGGAAUUUAUAUGUUUAUUAGUAAUCUUUAUUAAUAUUUUUAUAAAUAUUAAUUUUAAAUUAGGAUUAGAUACCCUUUUAUUUUUUGUUUAGAUUAAAUCAAAGAAUAUUAAUAGUUAUGUUCUAUAAAACUUAAAGAAUUUGGCGGUGGUUAAUCUUUUCAGGGGAAUCUGUUUAUUAAUUGAUAAACCACGUUAAUUUAUACUUAAAUUUAAUUUGUAUAUCGCUAUAAUGAAUAAUCUUUAAGGAAUUUUCUAUUUUAAUUAUUUGAUUUAUAUUAGGUCAAGGUGCAGUUUUAUUUAAGUUUAAAUGGAUUACUUUAAUUAUAAUUUAUAUUGGAUGAUUAUAUAUAAUUUUAAUUUUAAAUAGGAUUUGAUAGUAAUUUUAUAUAAUUAUUUAAUUUGAAUUAAGUUAUAAACCAUGUACAUAUUGCCCGUCACUCCAAAUUUAUUGGAUAAGUCGUAACAAAGUAAUUUUACUGGAAGGUGAGGUUAGAUUACU